CAUGUCAUUCUCCUGCCUCAGCCUCCCAAGUAGCUGAGACUACAGUUGCCUGCCACCAUGCCCGGCCUUUUUUGUAUUUUUAGUAGAGAUGGGGUUUCACCGUGUUAGCCAGGAUGGUCUGGAUUUCCUGACCUCAUGAUCCACCCACCUUGGGCUCUCAAAGUCCUGGAAUUACAGGCAUGAGCCACUGCACCCGGCCCAAAAGCUUUGUGUUUUUACAGAUAUUAGACAUGUUUCUUGUUUAAGAAAAAAAAUCUUAAUGAAAACGUAGGAGAAUAAGAGAAACAUUUUUCCAAAAAAGAGAAAUCAUUGUGAUUAUUUUAUCUUAUUAGAAUGUUGGAUAAUAUAGUCUGCUUCAUUAAUCAUCAAGCAUGCUAUGCAUUUUCCAUUUUUAUAGGAUCUGUAUCUCAGUUAAGGUAAUACUGGUAAUUUUUGUACUGUAAUCAAAGAUGAAAAAUAUAGGCCAAAAUCAUAGACCUUGCAUAGAAGCUGGAUAAUGAAGACAGCUAUGGAGAAAAACAUAGAUACACACACACGGACACACAUAUAUAUAAAGUAUACACACAUAUAUUUUUUAAAGUUUUAAAGCUUUUAAAGCAAAAGCCGGCCCCUCUUCUCUUCCAGAGUGGGAGGCCUCUCCCCUCUCUUAGAGUGGGUGGGGAGAGCGGUUGCAUGGGCAGCUUUCCUUGUGAGCCACAGGUCCCUCUGGACACACUGCUUUCUGGCCACGCCCCCUUUCCUUUUCAUCUUUCUCAUUGACCAAUGGGCUUGGAGCAUUAAGGCCACGCCCCUAUUCCGCAUUCUACUGGGGCCCUGGUUACGCCUCCUCUGGCUCAGUCACACAGCUGCCUGGUAGGUGACUGGAGGCCUUGAUCGGUUCUCAUUGAGAUUUUGCUGCUGUGACCCCAACCCUGCCUCCCUCCCCACCCUGCGAUGGCAGAAGAAACUCAACACAACAAAUUGGCUGCAGCCAAGAAAAAGUUAAAAGAAUAUUGGCAGAAAAACAGCCCUAGAGUUCCAGCAGGAGCGAACAGGAACAGGAAAACAAAUGGCAGUAUCCCUGAGACAGCCACUUCUGGUGGUUGCCAGUCACCUGGGGAUUCAGCAACAGGUUUCCACAGGGAAGGCCCUACAGCAUCUGCUACCCUGAAAGAUCUGGAGAGCCCGUGCCAAGAACGAGCAGUAGUCCUGGAUUCAAGGUUCGUAGGAAUCAGUCAACUGAAGAACACCAUCAAAUCUUUGAAACAACAGAAGAAACAAGUGGAACAUCAGCUGGAAGAAGAAAAGAAAGCAAACAACGAGAGACAGAAAGCCGAAAGGGAGCUAGAGGUUCAAAUCCAGACAUUGAACAUACAGAAAGAGGAACUAAAUACAGACCUGUACCACAUGAAACGUUCUCUCAGAUACUUUGAAGAAAAGUCCAAGGAUCUGGCUGUCCGCCUGCAACAUUCAUUGCAGCGUAAAGGAGAGUUAGAGAGUGUUCUCUCUGAUGUCAUGGCCACACAGAAGAAGAAGGCAAACCAGUGGUCCAGCCCCAGUAAAGCACGUACGGAGUGGAAGUUAGAGCAGUCCAUGCGGGAGGAGGCACUGCUGAAAGCGCAGCUGACACAGUUGAAGGAGUCAUUUCAACAACUCCAAUUAGAAAGACAUGAGUAUGCUGAACAUCUAAAAGGAGAGAGGGCCCGGUGGCAGCAGAGGAUGAGAAAAAUGUCACAGGAGAUUUGCACAUUAAAGAAAGAGAAGCAGCAAGAUAUGCGUCGGGUAGAGAAGCUGGAGAGGAGCUUGUCCAAACUCAAAAACCAGACGGCUGAACCCUUGCCCCCGGAGCCCCCAGCAGUGCCCUCUGAGGUGGAGCUGCAGCACCUGAGGAAGGAACUAGAGAGAGUGGCAGGAGAGCUCCAGGCCCAGGUCAAAAACAAUCAGCGCAUAAGUCUCCUGAACCGGGGACAAGAAGAGAGGAUUCAGGAGCAGGAAGAGAGGCUUCGGAAGCAGGAGGAGAGGCUUCAGGAGCAGCACAAGAGCCUUCAGCAGCUGGCCAAGCCACAGAGCGUCUUGGAGGAGCUGAACAAUGAGAACAAGAGCGCACUGCAGUUGGAGCAGCAAGUAAAGGAGCUACAGGAGAAGCUUGGUGAGGUGGAGCUGAAGAGCCAAGAGGCUCAGAGUCUGCAGCAGCAGCCAGACCAUUACCUGGGUCACCUGCAGCAGUCCGUGGCCACCUAUCAGCAGCAGGUGGCCGCCUAUCAGCAGCUGACCUGUGAGAUGGAGGCGCUGUACAGGCAGUGACUGCAACAGACCCAGCUAAUGAACCAGCUGCAGCAGCAGGAAGCUUGGGGCAAAGCAGUGGCUGAGAUGGCCUGCCAAAAGUUGCAGGAGACCCAGGGGAGGGAGCUGCCGAGGAUGGGGCUGUGAGGGGGACGACCCGGCAAACUCCAUCCCUUCUCACUCUUUCCUGGCCCCUUAGGAGCACCUGGAAGCGGCCAGCCAGCAGAACCAGCAGCUAACAGCCCAGCCUAGCCUCAUGGCUCUCCCUGGGGAAGGACACGGAGGAGAACAUCUGGACAGUGAGGGGGAGGAGGCACCUCAGCCCAUGCCGAGUGUCCCAGAGGACCUGGAGAACAGGGAGGCCAUGAGCAGCUUUAUGGACCACCUGGAGGAGAAGGCAGACCUGAGUGAGCUGGUGAAGAAAAAAGAACUUCGCUUCAUCCAUCACUGGCGAGAGAGAUGCCAUCAGAAAAUCCAUCACCUGUUAUCAGAACCAGGGGGCCGUGCCAAAGAUGCGGCACUGGGAGGAGGACACCAUCAGGCUGGAGCUCAGGGAGGAGAUGAAGGUGAAGCUGCUGGAGCUGCAGCAGAUGGUAUUGCGGCUUACAGCAACUACAACAAUGGGCACAGAAAAUUCCUGGCCGCUGCCCACAACCCUGCUGAUGAGCCCGGUCCAGGAGCCCCAGCUCCCCAGGAGCUUGGGGCUGCAGACAAGCAUGGUGAUCUUUGUGAGGUGAGCCUCACCUCCUCUGCCCAAGGAGAGGCCAGGGAGGAUCCUCUCCUUGACAAGCCUACUGCACAGCCCAUCGUGCAGGACCACCAGGAGCACCCAGGCUUGGGCAGCAACUGCUGUGUGCCAUUCUUUCGCUGGGCUUGGCUGCCAAGAAGAAGGAGAUAAACAUCACCAUCAUCAAAGAGCUGCUCAAGAAAUUUUUAAAUAAGAAACCAAGUUAUGGGGUUAAUCUCCUACACAAUUCAUUUACUUCCUUUGAAUGUUAGAGUCACUCAUGAUUAUUUGUGUUUCUAAUUUAUAGUUGAAGUUUAUUUGUAAAAAGUUAAAAGAGAGUGGGUGUCUGUGGCUCUCACUGAUGUUCACUCUGGCAUCCUUUAGCAUUUUUCUUUUUUAAUUUCAUAAUUGUAGGUCAUUAGCAAGCAUAUCGAGUUUGCCCUUACGUGGUGGGAGUUCAAACACACAAAGACCCACUCUUUGCCCACAACUGUUCUCUUUGGUUUGGAAUAGGCUGCCAUGCUUUUUUAAUGUUAUUGCAGCAUGUAUAUUCACUACAGAAUUCAGACAAAAUUUGCCUAUGUUCUGCUGUUGUUUGAUCUAAUCUUAAUCAGUGAGCUCUUCGUUAGCUCAAUAUGUAGUUUGCCCCCAAGUGUGCACUGUUUAUUACUUUGUAAUAUGCCACUAUGAGUACUGACAUUUAGAGUUGUUUAAAGGCCAAGAACCGGAAACAGCCUUUCCUCCAUUUUCUGUGUAUUGGUGAUGGGAGUGAUAACCUUUUGGGGGAGCUUUUUAAAUCUCACAGAAGAGGAAAGUGGCCUCCUCUGGCAGGUACGUGCAGGAUAGAGUGUGUUUCAUCUGUUCCGGUGCCAGGAAUUAGCGGUGUAUUAUGGUGGUUCCCUUAGGAUUUGUAUGUGCUCUGGGCUCAUGAAGAUACUGCAUCAUGAGCUGCAGCAGUUGUACUCUUUUUCGAUGACCUAAAAAGGGCUUAUUUCUGAGGAAUGAAAGGUUCCCAUCAUUGACUGUGGAUGUGGAAAUCCUUUCCUAGCUUAGAGCAUUUGUAUCUACAAUACAUUUUAAAGUCAGAGUUCAUGUUACCUGUUUUAAUCACAUGACUACAUGCCCCAGUACACAAAAGGGCACUGGUUGGCAUUCUUCUUAAUGUAUUUAGUGAAGAUCAUAAAAAAUCCUUUACGAGUUCAAAUGUCCCUGGAACAGGCAUACAGGCUCUAGUCAAGAAUGAAUUAGAGUGAAGGAAAGCUGUGUGACACCUGGCAUUCCUCUCUGUUCAGGGAGAUUCUUUGAGGCUUGAAGAUUGAUUUUACCAUCUAGACCUCUUUGGCUAAUACCUAUUCUUCAACCACCUUGGUUACUCUGACAUAGGAAUUUACUUCUUUUUCCUUGAAUGGAAAACACUUUAAAAAAUAAUAGAAACAUUAUUAUAAACUAAUAUAUGUGAGAUACUUAGUUGAAACAAAAAGGAGUUUUAGUAGACGGUAUUAUACUAUCUUUGAAAAUCAAGGAGAAGUUUAUGAAACUUAAAAUGUGUACAAACUGCAGUGCAAUCUACUGUUCGUGAAUGUCAAUGUAUUAUCAGGAAACAUGUCUAUACAAUCACAGAGUUAUAUUUUCUCACAGACUUCUUUACAAAGUGAAAUAUGUUUUUGUACCUCUGGGUUUCUGUUCGGGACAUAUUUUGUGCAAUAUUUAUGUGAUUGUGCCUAUGCAUGAUGAAUGAAUGCAUUUCAGUUAUAUAUUGCCUAAAUCGUAACUUGAUGAUGCUUGGGAAAGACUCAACAGUUAAAACUUCAUGAAGUUCUAAUGUCUGUGUUCCAAAACACAUCACAUUGUUAGGAUGCAGGGAGAUAGGUGUGUGUGCUCCCUGCGGUGGGGAUUUCUAGUUACUAGAUCAUCUCCAUUUUUAGCAUUUGGCAUCCUCAUGAUACUUCUAUAAAUAUGACAUUAACAGGAGAGCAACAAUACGAUUUUACCGAUGGGAUAACAGAUUUGCUGGCAUUCACUGAAAGAGUGCAAAUAUUCGGUCCUUGUGACUUCAACUGACUCUUCCAAAUUUUAUGAAUGUAUCAAUGUAUUAGAUAAACCCAGUUUCAGAAUGAUAAAGAAAAAAUGUUAGACCAAAUAAUGCGGCUAAUUAACAGUGGUACGAUUUCUAGCCCGUGGGUUUAAAAUGCACUUAAAGUCCUGUUCUCGCCUUUUAUUUUCUGAACUUGCCGCUUUUGCAUUCUUUGAGUUCAGUUUAAAGACAGUUACUUUAAGAGCAUUUUAAACCCUCGGGCUAGAAAUCGGACCACUGUUAAUCAGCCACAUUAUUUGGUCUAACGUUUUUUCUUUUAUCAUUCUGAAACUGGGUUUAUCUAAUACAUUGAUAAAUUAUUUCAAAGGUACUUUUAUCGUUGAAAUCACUUCACUUUUACCCUGAUAAAUAUCAGUGACUAGGAAUGACCUUCGGAUAGCGUUUAGCAUCUGUAACCAAUCUGACAAUAAUGUGUUCAUGAGGUGCCUAUGGAUUAAAUCACACACUGGCAUAUUUAAGCUGAAGGUCAGUCUGGAAAAUAAAUUUACUAUAUUGACUGAAAUACCACUCUUUGUGUAGGUAUUUGUCAUAUAUUUAAGAAAAAGCUAAAAAGAAUGGAAAUUGUAUGACAAUAACUUAAGUCUUUCUCCAAAGUGCAUGCAGUCUUUUGCGAUACCUCAUUCAGCCGAGUAUUUGUGCUCUUCCUCAUUCAGUAUAAGGCAGCUUUCAGUUUGCUUAGAAGGCAACAUUGGAAUGUUAGAGUUCAUCAGAAACAUAGAAUUUUAAAAUGUGAGUUCCACUGAAUACAUUUUAAUUUCUGUAGGAAGAAUCAAAACACCUAUUUAAAGAUGGCAAUAUAUAAUAAUCAUUUUAAAAGUAUUUGAUUAAACCUGAUAAUUUUCCAGAAAUGAAAAAAAAAUCAGCUCUGAAACCAAAGCUGAUUUUAGAAAAUUUGAAAAUGUAAAUCAGCCCUAUCCGUAAUAUAGUUUCUCUAAAACUUUAUCUUAAAGAGUCAUUUUAAAAUAAUAUAACUAUUAAAAAUGUAACUGCUAUCUUAAUGUUCUGAAAUAAUUUAAAACAUUUUAAAAUAUGAAUACUGUAGUAUAAAAGAAAGAAAUGGUGGGAACGAAAAGCAGAGAAAGAAAUGCCAAUUCCAAUCCAAAGUUUUAUUUGCCAAGUUUUCUUAGAAUGAAUUUUACCAGUUUAUGAAUUAUUGUAAACAGAAUGUGUGAUGGAAAUACUGAAAGAUUUUUCCCUAGAGUGGCCUUAUUGACUGCUGGUGUGAUGCCACUGUAAUGUAAUAAAUUAUUAAGUUGUUUCAAUGUGUUGUUUUUGCCUUAAAAUUUUAUUUUGCGUUUCUUGAAAACUAUAGUAUUAAAGGUAUUGAUACUGUGCAAA